rnacentral:rRNA from 1 species
GACAGAGGGUGCAAACGUUGUUCGGAAUUACUGGGCGUAAAGCGAGUGUAGGCGGUUUGGUAAGUCGGAUGUGAAAGCCCCGGGCUCAACCCGGGAAGUGCACUCGAUACUGCCAAGCUAGAGUAUCGGAGAGGUUGGUGGAAUUCUCGGUGUAGAGGUGAAAUUCGUAGAUAUCGAGAGGAACACCGGUGGCGAAGGCGGCCAACUGGACGAAUACUGACGCUGAGACUCGAAAGCGUGGGGAGCAAACAGGAUUAGAUACCCUGGUAGUCCACGCCGUAAACGAUGGGUGCUAGGUGUCGCGGGCUUUGACUCCUGCGGUGCCGUAGCUAACGCAUUAAGCACCCCGCCUGGGAAGUACGGCCGCAAGGCUAAA